rnacentral:rRNA from 1 species
GAGUUUGAUCAUGGCUCAGAUUGAACGCUGGCGGCAGGCUUAACACAUGCAAGUCGAGCGGAGAUGAGGUGCUUGCACCUUAUCUUAGCGGCGGACGGGUGAGUAAUGCUUAGGAAUCUGCCAUUUAGUGGGGGACAACAUUCCGAAAGGAAUGCUAAUACCGCAUACGUCCUACGGGAGAAAGCAGGGGAUCUUCGGACCUUGCGCUAAAUGAUGAGCCUAAGUCGGAUUAGCUAGUUGGUGGGGUAAAGGCCUACCAAGGCGACGAUCUGUAGCGGGUCUGAGAGGAUGAUCCGCCACACUGGGACUGAGACACGGCCCAGACUCCUACGGGAGGCAGCAGUGGGGAAUAUUGGACAAUGGGCGGAAGCCUGAUCCAGCCAUGCCGCGUGUGUGAAGAAGGCCUUUUGGUUGUAAAGCACUUUAAGCGAGGAGGAGGCUACCUAGAUUAAUACUCUGGGAUAGUGGACGUUACUCGCAGAAUAAGCACCGGCUAACUCUGUGCCAGCAGCCGCGGUAAUACAGAGGGUGCGAGCGUUAAUCGGAUUUACUGGGCGUAAAGCGUGCGUAGGCGGCUGAUUAAGUCGGAUGUGAAAUCCCUGAGCUUAACUUAGGAAUUGCAUUCGAUACUGGUCAGCUAGAGUAUGGGAGAGGAUGGUAGAAUUCCAGGUGUAGCGGUGAAAUGCGUAGAGAUCUGGAGGAAUACCGAUGGCGAAGGCAGCCAUCUGCCUAAUACGACGCU